UUGCUGUUUGUGGUUAUUACAUAAAUUCAAAUACUCUACAGUUUCCUGAUAUUGGAAGGAUUAAAAAAAAAAAAACUCAAAGAAAUUUAAUUUGCCUAAACUAUUUUGUUAACUACAGUUAUUGAUAUAUAUAUAUAUUUUUUUUGGCCGGGGCUGGGUUUGAACCCGCCACCUCCGGCAUAUGGGACCGGGGCCCUACUCCUUGAGCCACAGGCGCCGCCCCAGUUAUUGAUAUUUUAAAUAACCUUCGAGCUGUUUUCAGGAUAUUGCCUUUGAAGAAAAAGUAAAUUAAAAAAAAAAAAACCCAAUAUAACAAUAGAUGCUUUUAGAAUCAGGAAACAAAAUCAAGAAAUCAGACAAAAGAGCAAUACCAGCAGGGGUCACUAGAUUGCUAUCAAGUUAAUACUACCCUCAAGGAAUGAAACAUUUAUAAAAUCUUCUAAAACUAAUUUUCAUAAGAUAGAAGAUAAAAUCAGUUAUAAUGAACUUUGUUCUUUCAUUGUUUUUAAGUAUUAUCUUAUCAAAUUAGUGCUGAAAACCACAUCUUUUUUAUUUUUUUUUAAGAGACAGAGUCUCACUUUAUUGCCCUCGGUAGAGUGCUGUGGUGUCACAGCUCACAGUGACUUCCAACUCCUGGGCUUAGGCGAUUCUCUUGCCUCAGCCUCCCGAGUAGGAGUAGCUGGGACUACAGGCGCCCAUCACAACGCCUAGCUAUUUUUUUUUUUUGUUGUUGUUGUUGCAGUUUGGCUGGGACCGGGUUUGAACCCACCACCCUUGGUAUAUGAGGUCAGUGCUCCACUGACUGAGACACAGGUGCCGCCCAUGAAAACCGCAUCUUAAGAAUCUUUCUAGCAGGCGGACACGGGAGCAAGAUGGCGUUUCCGGGCAGGCAGUAUGGGCUUAUUUUGCCAAAGAAAACACAGCAGUUGCGCCCUGUUUUGCAAAAACCAUCAGUGUUUGGAAAUGAUUCUAUGAUGAUGAUGAGACCUCCGUGAGUGAAAGUCUUCAGAGGGAAGCUGCUAAGAAACAGGCCAUGAAACAGACCAAAAUGGAAAUCCAGAAGGCCCUUGCAGAAGAUUCCACUGUGUAUGAAUAUGACAGUAUUUAUGAUGAAAUGCAGAAAAAAAAGGAGGAAAGUAACCCCAAGUUGCUUUUGGAAAAAGAUCGAAAGCUGAAGUACAUUCACAACUUACUAAAAGCAGUUGAAAUUAGAAAAAAGGAACAGGAAAAAAGAAUGGAAAAGAAAAUACAGAGAGAAUGAGAAAAGGGAGAAUUUGAUGAUAAAGAGGCAUUUGUGACAUCGGCUUAUAAGAAAAGACUGCAAGAGAGAGCUGAAGAGGAAGAAAGAGAAAAGAGGGUUGCUGCACUAGAAGCACGUUUGGAUGCAACAAAGCAGAAAGAUCUCAGUGGAUUUUAUAGGCACUUGUUAAAUCAGGCAGUUGGUGAAGAGGCAGUACCUAAGUGCAGUUUUCGUGAAGCCAGGUCUGGGAUAAAGGAAGAGAAAUCAAGGGGUUACUCUGAUGAAGUAAAUUCAAAGAACAUCAUACCACAGGAGAAGUGCAUUCUGGAAACUGGUAUGAAAGUAGAGGAAAACCCAGAUGCCGACAGUGACUUUGAUGCUAAGAGCAGUGAGGGUGAUGAAAUGGAAGAAAGGAAACGGAACUACAGGCGGGAAAAGAUCACAGAGACCUCGAAGGAUGAUCCCAAGCAUCACAGGACUCAGACACACUCACGGUCAUCUAGUGAAGAAAGAGGGCAUGGUGCCAAACAAUACACAAAAGAUUGCAAGUCAAGAGGACAUGAGAAAAGGCAAGGUCAGCACCAAGAGAGGCAGUCCAGAGACCCAGAGAACCAUUACACUGACCGUGAUUACCGGAAAGAGAAGGAUUCUCAUAGGCACAGAGAGGCCAGUCAUGGAGAUUCCCACCGGAAGAGGCGUGAACAAGAAGAUAAACUGAGGGCAAGGGACCAAAGAGAAAGAAGUGACAGAGGAUGGAAAAGGGAGAAAGACAGGGAGAAAUACUCCCCAAGAGAGCAAGAAAGACAUAGACAGCGAAAUGCUCAUGACGACACAGUGAGAAAGGAGAGAAGGAAGAGAAAAGCAGAGAAAAGGAAGAAUAUGUGAAAGGAAGGAGGGAAAGAUACGAAAAUAAUGAUAAAUACAGAGAUAGAGAAAAACAAGGAGUAAGUGUUCAAUCUUCAGAAAAAAGUCACACCAGAAAGGAAAGCAGCCCCAAUUCUAGAGCAAAGGAUAAGGAUCAUGACCAAGAAAGGUCCAACAAAAUGAGAAACAUGGAAAAGGACAAAGAAGGAAACCAGGAGAAACCCUCUAGUUGUGAAACAUCCCCAGGAGCAAAACACAGACUCACAGAGGACAGGCAAGAGAAGGACAAAGGACGGGAGGGAACCCCUGAAGUGGUGAGCAAGUCUGCAAAGCGAAACAAGGAAGAAACGGCAAUGUCAGCUAGAGACAGGCGCUUGGCCAGGCCAAUGGCACGGGUUAAUGCAAAGACCUACACUGAAAAAGAAGACGACUGAGGGCUGCCCCAUUUGAAAGAUCUCUGGAAGCACAGAAAACUGUGAACUCCUGGAACUAGCUGUGUGAAAGAAUAAAGGGAGUGUAACAACAGUGGACGGGAGGAUAUUUUUAAAUAUAUUUCUGAAAUCAGAAAUUUUUUUUUUUGAAUGUUCGGCUGAAUUUAUAUGUAAUAUUUACUUAUCAGUGCUACAUUCUUAGUUGUAUUCAAGAACUGUGAGUGUGCUAAAUCCCUGUAGGUACUUAACUGAGGAAAAUUGGCUCCACUACAACCAUUUAAAAAUAAUUUAAACAAUUCUUCUAAUAAUGUUGAUUUUAUUAUAGGGAGCUGUUUUGUAAAUAUUGUAUUUCAGAUAAAAAUAUGUAUAUUUGGACAAUAAAGUAGAGCAUAUUAGAGGUUUAUGUUCUGAAAUUUGUAUUAAAGUAUAACAUGUGGUCAUAUAUAUUGUCUAAACUUUUAUCCCACAGCAUAGUGGCUUAAGUGAAAAUAAAAAUAGUGAUAUGCUUACACAUUUAAAAAAAAAAAAGAAUCUUUCUAGCAUAUAAAUUUUCUUUUCUAAAGAUACCAACUAUAAUUAAUCUGUUUUUCUGAGGUUUCUGUGCAGAAGGCAUUUAAAGAUAUUUCUGUUGUUAUUAUUACCAAAUACCAUGUAAUGUCAAAAUUUAAACAUACUUAAACCUUGGUCUAAUAUUACUAGUACUUUAUUGUAGAGUUUGUUAGGAGUAUCUGUCUUGGUGUUAAGUUCCAUAAUCACUUUAUAAUAGGCCAUAUGGAUCCCACAUUGACUUAAUUUGUUCACUUUGAUAAAGCUAUAAUAAAUCAAAUACAUCACUCAAUGGAACUUCUAAAUCCUACGCAAUUAGAAGUGUCCAGGAGCUUUAGAGAACUCCAAGGGAUGUUCCAAUUUUACAGCCAGUUACAAAGGAUGCUUAUCCUAACAAAGCCAUUAUGGAAAGCAAAGCCAAACUUCUCAAUUUCAAGUUAACAUUCCUCCUCUGGUUGGUCCCUUCAUUUCCAUCCGGGCUUUUCCCUGAACACCCCACAAAGGCUCUGCCGUUUCAGACAGACUGGGUCUGCAGCAAUUCCCACCAACUGCCACCUUCCCUCAAUCCCUCAACUGUGAUGUGUCUCACAAUCAUGAAAUGAGAAUUUGAAAAUGGUUCCACUGCAGAAAAUAGCCAUACUACUUGAUUAAAUUGUGAUUUUACAGGGUGAAUUUCAAUGAAUGUAAUAAACAAAAGAACAUGAUCUUUAAGUUAUCUCCAUGUUUUCUUUACGUUAUCUCCGUGUUUUAUGUUCUAAAUCAUCAACUAGGUUCAAGAUUCACUUCUCCUGUAUUUCUCCAUAACUUGUAAUGAAUUAAGUUUAACAGAUGCUUGCUUUUGUUAAAGUUAGGCAUGCCUUUGUUGCAUUUUCUAUACAAAGGCAAAUUUCUGGGGGUGAUACUUAGUGGUGAACAGUGUCUUUGGGGCAGCAACAUGGGUCUGUUCAGCUCAUUCAUCUUCAUACUCCCAGCCCUGGUAUAAAGCUUUGCACGUCUAUUAAACAGAAUGGACAGUAUUUAUAGUAGUAUGGCAAACUACUGAAAUUAAG